rnacentral:misc_RNA from 1 species
CACUCAGUAGCCUAGCUACUUGUUUAUACCCUUGUUUUUUUGCGUACCUAUUGUUUCCUCGGUGGGCUUGCCUGCCGAUCGGACAAAACUAUAACCUUUUUAAAUCUUCAAUCAGCGUCUGAAUUAUACAUAAUAAUUA